AUACGGAGGGUGCAAGCGUUGUUCGGAAUCACUGGGCGUAAAGGGCGCGCAGGCGGUUUGGUAAGUCAGAUGUGAAAGCCCACGGCUCAACCGCGGAAGUACAUUUGAAACUGCCAGACUUGAGUACCAGAGGGGAAAGUGGAAUUCCCGGUGUAGAGGUGAAAUUCGUAGAUAUCGGGAGGAAUACCGGUGGCGAAGGCGACUUUCUGGCUGGAUACUGACGCUGAGACGCGAAAGCGUGGGGAGCAAACAGGAUUAGAAACCCUAGUAGUCC
rnacentral:rRNA from 1 species